UGACUGAAUGUGCAUGUGUUGGAGGUUGCUCUAACCUGGUAUUGUUUGUCCAGCCAAAUUCCUGUUGGUUCUGUAGUUAUCGCCACCGUAACAGCUGAGGACUCUCACUUCACAGGAGAGACAAAAUGGCAAAGGGUGAAAAAAAGUCCUGCUGUCUUACAGAAAUUCUCUGUCACAUUGAUUUAUUUAAGAGAGACUUUAGAAAAAGAAGGUAUACUUUACCUCUCCAGAGAAACUUUGUGGUGCCUGGGAACACAGAGGUGGUGUAGUUGCCACUUAACAGACAUAAACAUAGAACUGUCUUGUGUGUUAAAUAAUGAUAAUGACACCCCAGGGGUAACUAAAAAUGAAGUGAGACACAAGUUCCUGGACUGUGCUGUAGGUUGGUGUUAUUUCUCAUUGCUGUUAGGGGUGGGUCUCAUCCAGGGGCUCUGCUGCCAUUGCUGAGUGGAGCCCUGCAUUGCUGUAGGUGCUGCUGAAAUAAUUUCUGUCCAUUUGAUUUUCCCCCUCAGCACCAAUUCGGACAUUCUGGCAGAUGUGGAAGGGUCUGAGACGUGUUCAGCAUCCUCUGACAGCAGCUCCGUGGCUCCGGCCGGGAACAGGAGGAGGCUGCGGCGGCCGCACGUCCCCGAGAGCAGCGGGGCGACGCCGCGGGGCAAGAGGAAGAGGAGCUAGUGCUGCCAGCGUGCCCGGCUCAGCCUGGGCAGCCCCCCGGCCCUCCCAUCCUCUGCGUGUCUGGCUGCUGAGUACAGCUCUGUUCUCACAUCCUGCCAUCCCAGCUGCCUUCCUGACCAGGCUGGCGGCUUCGCCCGCAGCCCCGUGGGCCGCCGGUGGCCGAGGGUGGGCACAGAGUGGCAGAGCCCCGCGGGACUGACCUGGCUGCCGUGCCCAGCUCCCUCGCUCUGCAGCACCUGGCUGCGUGCUGCCACUGUCCUGCUUGUGUCCUGUGCCAGCCUCACCUGCCCCUGGGAGCGGCUGCAGGACGCUGUUUGUUUGGGCGUGGGCAGGUACUGGUGCCCCAGUUCUGGCACUGCCAGGGGAGGGAGGGACCAAGGAGUGCAGGGAGAUUCUGCCCUGCACUGGCAGGCUUUGUUAUAUGUCUGUGUAAACUUACUCAGUAUUGUGUGUCAUUAUUUCAGUUUGGAGUCCUGAAACUGGGAAGGGAAGGCUGUUGGACAUGCAGCAUUUUAGCUUUCAAGCACACAGUUACAUUGAAAAGUCUGAUCUUCCUUACGAGGUGGUGGGAUUUUGUGAUGCAACGAAGCACUGCAAAAAAAAAGAAGGAAAUGCAAGAAACCUGAACACCAGGGAAGGCUUUGAAAAAUAAAGCUUGUAAGAAAAUAUGAAAAUACUUCA
rnacentral:lncRNA from 1 species